rnacentral:lncRNA from 1 species
CUCGGGGUUAAGGUCGUCAGUUUCUCGACAUUUGAGUUUACAUUGAUCACUGGACUAAGGAUUACGGGCGACGAUACAGCCAAUGAGAGAAGCAAUAGGCUGUACGAGACAUACUUUCAGGGACAUGGGUCGAUGCUUCUACCCGACUUGAUGGUCGCGAUCAGGGGGUGCGACCAGAUGCUAGAUAGAUUGAAGCUUGGGCUGGUCUACAUCCUCGA